UACGAAGGGGGCUAGCGUUGUUCGGAAUUACUGGGCGUAAAGCGCGCGCAGGCGGUCUUCCAAGUCAGUGGUGAAAGCCCGGAGCUCAACUCCGGAACUGCCAUUGAAACUGUAAGACUUGAGGACGAGAGAGGUGAGUGGAAUUCCCAGUGUAGAGGUGAAAUUCGUAGAUAUUGGGAAGAACACCGGUGGCGAAGGCGGCUCACUGGCUCGUAUCUGACGCUCAGGCGCGACAGCGUGGGGAU
rnacentral:rRNA from 1 species